UAAGGAAUAUUGCUCAAUGGGAGAAAUCCUGAAGCAGCAACGCCGCGUGGAGGAUGAAGGGUCUAUGACUUGUAAACUCCUGUAAAGAAGGAAAAAAUUCCCAUUAGAUGGGAGAUGAUGGUACUUCUGGAGUAAGCCCCGGCUAACUACGUGCCAGCAGCCGCGGUAAUACGUAGGGGGCAAGCGUUGUCCGGAUUUACUGGGUGUAAAGGGUGCUCAGGCGGAUUUGUAAGUCAGAGGUGAAAUCUUACAGCUUAACUGUGAAACUGCCUUUGAUACUGCAAGCCUAGAGUAUGGAAGAGAGUGAUGGAAUAUCUGGUAUAGCAGUGAAAUGCGUAGAUAUCAGAUAGAACACCAAUGGCGAAGGCAGUCACUUGGUCCAUUACUGACGCUAAAGCACGAAAGCGUGGGUAGCAAACA
rnacentral:rRNA from 1 species